rnacentral:rRNA from 1 species
GCCAACGUCCAUACCAUGUUGAAAGCACCGGUUCUCGUCCGAUCACCGAAGUUAAGCAACAUCGGGCGCGGUUAGUACUUGGAUGGGUGACCGCCUGGGAAUACCACGUGACGUUAGCU